GACGAACGCUGGCGGCGUGCUUAACACAUGCAAGUCGAGCGGUAAGGCCCUUUCGGGGGUACACGAGCGGCGAACGGGUGAGUAACACGUGGGUGACCUGCCUUUAGCUCUGGGAUAAGCCUGGGAAACCGGGUCUAAUACCGGAUAUGACUCCGCGGCGCAUGUUGUGGGGUGGAAAGCCUUGUGCGGCUGAGGAUGGGCCCGCGGCCUAUCAGCUUGUUGGUGGGGUGANGGCCUACCAAGGCGACGACGGGUAGCCGGCCUGAGAGGGCGACCGGCCACACUGGGACUGAGACACGGCCCAGACUCCUACGGGAGGCAGCAGUGGGGAAUCUUGCGCAAUGGGCGAAAGCCUGACGCAGCGACGCCGCGUGAGGGAUGACGGCCUCGGUU
rnacentral:rRNA from 1 species